rnacentral:rRNA from 1 species
GAUGAACGCUGGCGGCGUGCCUAAUACAUGCAAGUCGAGCGAACAGACGAGGAGCUUGCUCCUCUGACGUUAGCGGCGGACGGGUGAGUAACACGUGGAUAACCUACCUAUAAGACUGGGAUAACUUCGGGAAACCGGAGCUAAUACCGGAUAAUAUAUUGAACCGCAUGGUUCAAUAGUGAAAGACGGUUUUGCUGUCACUUAUAGAUGGAUCCGCGCCGCAUUAGCUAGUUGGUAAGGUAACGGCUUACCAAGGCGACGAUGCGUAGCCGACCUGAGAGGGUGAUCGGCCACACUGGAACUGAGACACGGUCCAGACUCCUACGGGAGGCAGCAGUAGGGAAUCUUCCGCAACGGGCGAAAGCCUGACGGAGCAACGCCGCGUGAGUGAUGAAGGUCUUCGGAUCGUAAAACUCUGUUAUUAGGGAAGAACAAAUGUGUAAGUAACUAUGCACGUCUUGACGGUACCUAAUCAGAAAGCCACGGCUAACUACGUGCCAGCCGCCGCAGUAA